CCAACAGCCUAGGACGCCUUUUCGAGAAAAGAAAAGGCCUAAAAUUAAUGAAAAGCAGAUUCCUUUGAGUUUUGAUUUGGUGUUCCUCCUUGUGGAUUGACUCAGUCAGUCUUCAGUUGCGAGUCAAGCGCAACUUUUGGAUUAGAGAGUUGCAUUGCAUCAGAAUCAUUCAUCAGAUAGAGAUAAACAAAAUCAAAAUGAGCGGAGUGGGAGAGAAAGGGUCAACCACCACUAAAACCCCUGCUGAUUUCCUCAAGUCCAUUCGAGGACGACCUGUUGUGGUUAAACUCAAUUCUGGAGUCGACUAUAGAGGUAUUCUAGCUUGUCUGGGUAUAUGAAUAUUGCAAUGGAACAGACGGAGUAUGUCAAUGGGCAGUUGAAGAACAAGUAUGGCGAUGCCUUUAUUCGUGGAAAUAAUGUACUCUACAUCAGUACAUCGAAAAGGACAUUGGCAGAUGGGGCUUAGUUUAGUGGUGCCAUGUUUUCUUUUUGGAUUUUGGAUAAGAAAGAAAGACACAACUUGAAUUUCCUUUUCAAAACUUUUGUUCUUAAAAGCUUCUUUUGUUAUGAAACUUUGUUCUGCCAUUACUCUUUAUAUUUACAUACCUACGUUUUAUUCUCUA